rnacentral:rRNA from 1 species
GAUGAAGAACACAGUGAAAUGUGAUAAGUAAUGUGAAUCGCAGAAUUCAGUGAAUCAUCAAAUUUUUGAACGCACCUUGCACCUUUUGGUAUUACAAAAGGCACACCUGUUUGAGUGUCAUGAAAACUCCUCAUCAUUCAAUUUUUUCAUUAAAAUUUUAUGGUGGAUGUUGAGUGUUGCUGUUUUAAAGACAGCUCUCUUUAAAUAUAUAAGCCUGUCGUAUCAUGUGAUUUGGAUUGACUUGAUGUGAUAAAUAUCAAUUUCAUCAAGAAGUGUGUGUCAUGCACAGCCAAUCAUAUUUUGUUAAGUAAGCUACUAAGACAUGCUCCUUUCAAGACAAUAUUAAUUUUAAGACCUCAAAUCAGGUGGGAUUACCCGCUGAACUUAAGCAUAUCAAUAAGCGGAGGAAAAGAAACUAACAAGGAUUCCCC